rnacentral:tRNA from 1 species
UGGGCAUUCGCCAAGCGGAUAAGGCACCAGAAUUUGACUCUGGCAGAGUAAAACUCAUUACGUUGGUUCGAAUCCAACAUGCCCAG